AAAUAUUCUUACAAUAUAUUGCAAAACUGUGACAAUUUUCUAAGAGCUAGACUUGAGCUUUCCCUCUUAUAGAUCGUUCUGAAUGUAAAUAACCUUUAUAACAUCCUAUAGAAUCAUCAACCGAUAUAACAUUUGCAUAGUGGUUUAUCUUAGUAUAACUAUAAGCUCUAUUCAAUACCAGUAAGGUUGUUGGUGAACUCUCAGGAAACGUAUCUCAUCGACUUCUGCUUUAUUUGAAGGUUCGCGGCUAUUGCUUCUAAGAUCAUCCAAUUCUACUUUGUUUCCAAUAUUUGAAGCUCCUGACAAAUGUGACCAUGUCCUUGUUUUCCUCUGGUUCAUCUUUGCUUUGCAUUCAUCAAAUGCCGAGUACAUUUUGUAAAUGGUCACCCACAUGUUGUAGUUAGAUCCAUGUUAAAUUAUGGUUUGUUGUAUAAAGAACCCAUGUUUUUUUCCCCUUUCUCUCUCUCUUGUAAUUUACUUUUUUCCUUCAUGGGUUUUAGCAGAUGUUUGUAUUGAAUCAUUAUGAAUUGGUUUAUUUUUUUAGUCAUUUUUGAGUUUCUUCAGUAGCUGUUGUGUUGUAAGCAUGUGCAGUUUUCCAAAUGUAAGGCACUGUUGUGUAUUUAAUUUGUAAACGUCAAACAUGGGCUACAUUUUACAUCGGCAACCACAUCGAUAUUGUCAUGUUCAUACUCUUUCCUUCAAUGCUUAUUCUUUAUGCAAAUUUUGCAUUAUUUUCAAUGUCAUUGAUUUUUCCACAUAAACCCCAUCCAUAGCGUCAGGAUUUAGGUACACGCUGGUUACGAUCAUGCUUGUCAGCUAAAUUUAAAAAAAAUUAUUAUUAUUACAACAAGACCAAAAUCUCAAUCAUUUGCAAUUAAAAUAUGACUGUUGAGGCAAAUUUAGCUGCUACCCUCAAAUGAAUUUAAGCCCUAACGCACAACUUUCAGUAAACACUCUCUCGUGAGCAGAAUUGAUGCCUUAUCCUCUGUUAUGUUUUUUCUCUACACAAGUAAAGCUAUUGAGUCAAACAUAGAGAAGCAGAAUACAAAAUGUAAAGGAAAAAUAUGUUGUCCAGUAGAGUGAUUAUCAGUGCAUGCAGCAAUGUGAGAAUCUUAUGAGGGCCAGUGUUGUUCUGGUCUCGAUACUAACACGGGUUUUUGUGAUGUUCCCUCUGUCCUCAGUAAUCACAUCAUGGUGCUAUAUAUAUAUAUUUGAUAACUCAUUCGUUAGGUCUAUUAAAAGAAGAAUUAAGUCUGUAAUUAUAAGUUGGAGAGCUGGUGAUUAUAACUUCAAAUCUGUAUUUUGGAUACAAGUAGCCGAAAUCAUUUGUUAUAACGAUGAAAAAAAAAA